UACGUAGGGUGCAAGCGUUGUCCGGAAUUAUUGGGCGUAAAGAGCUCGUAGGCGGUCUGUCGCGUCUGCUGUGAAAAUCAGGGCUCAACCCUGGACCUGCAGUGGGUACGGGCAGACUAGAGUGCGGUAGGGGAGAUCGGAAUUCCUGGUGUAGCGGUGAAAUGCGCAGAUAUCAGGAGGAACACGGUGGCGAAGGCGGAUCUCUGGGCCGUAACUGACGCUGAGGAGCGAAAGCAUGGGGAGCGAACAGG
rnacentral:rRNA from 1 species